rnacentral:tRNA from 1 species
GGGUGUAUAGCUCAGUGACAGAGCGCGUGCUUAGCAAGCAUGAGGUCCUAGGUUCAGUCCCCAGUACCUCCA